AGAACUUAGCAGAGAUGCUUUGGUGCCUUCGGGAACUCUGAGACAGGUGCUGCAUGGCUGUCGUCAGCUCGUGUUGUGAAAUGUUGGGGGUUAAUCCCGCAACGAGCGCAACCCUUAUCCUUUGUUGCCAGCGGUUAGGCCGGGAACUCAAAGGAGACUGCCAGUGAUAAACUGGAGGAAGGUGGGGAUGACGUCAAGUCAUCAUGGCCCUUACGAGUAGGGCUACACACGUGCUACAAUGGCGCAUACAAAGAGAAGCGACCUCGCGAGAGCAAGCGGACCUCAUAAAGUGCGUCGUAGUCCGGAUUGGAGUCUGCAACUCGACUCCAUGAAGUCGGAAUCGCUAGUAAUCGUGGAUCAGAAUGCCACGGUGAAUACGUUCCCGGGCCUUGUACACACCGCCCGUCACACCAUGGGAGUGGGUUGCAAAAGAAGUAGGUAGCUUAACCUUCGGGAGGGCGCUUACCACUUUGUGAUUCAUGACUGGGGUGAAGUCGUAACAAGGUAAGCGUAGUGCU
rnacentral:rRNA from 1 species